GACGAACGCUGGCGGCAUGCUUAACACAUGCAAGUCGAACGGAAAGGCCCUGCUUUUGUGGGGUGCUCGAGUGGCGAACGGGUGAGUAACACGUGAGUAACCUGCCCUUGACUUUGGGAUAACUUCAGGAAACUGGGGCUAAUACCGGAUAGGAGCUCCUGCUGGAUGGUGGGGGUUGGAAAGUUUCGGCGGUUGGGGAUGGACUCGCGGCUUAUCAGCUUGUUGGUGGGGUAGUGGCUUACCAAGGCUUUGACGGGUAGCCGGCCUGAGAGGGUGACCGGCCACAUUGGGACUGAGAUACGGCCCAGACUCCUACGGGAGGCAGCAGUGGGGAAUAUUGCACAAUGGGCGGAAGCCUGAUGCAGCAACGCCGCGUGCGGGAUGACGGCCUUCGGGUUGUAAACCGCUUUCGCCUGUGACGAAGCGUGAGUGACGGUAAUGGGUAAAGAAGCACCGGCUAACUACGUG
rnacentral:rRNA from 1 species